GGACAAGGUGAGGGGCAGCGGCCGGGAGAGCGGGACAGGGGCGGGCCGCAGCGCCGGGGUCUCGCCUGCUGCCCCCGCGAACCCCCGCGGCUCUGCUGGGGCCGGCCGGGUCGCUUUGUUUUGUCGGCACGGCGAUGAAUCCCCCCCCGCAGGAGCCGUAGCGAGGAAAUCCUUAUCCCGCUGGGAAUGCCAACCGCACAUCCCCCUGCAGAAGGGGGUGGCUGCUUACGGAAAUACCCGUUGUUCAACGUUCUAGAUAAAAGUGUGUUUAAUAAUUGAUGCUUCUGUAGCCGCUAAUUGUUCGAGCUCCCGAAUUCUUCGGGAAAACACGUAACUUUCGCAUUAAGGUGUUAAAUUAUUGAACGUUUGUAAAGCUCCGGAAUAAAGGAAACAAAACCACGUGCGCUAACAUCAAUUACUGUGUGACAUUUUCACUUGAAAAAGUAGAAGUGCCAAUGCAGAGAGCUAGUGGGUUGCGAUGGAAAAGUUAAACUUUGAUAUAAAAUAUUUCAGGUGUGUCGCUGUAAGAGUGCCAAAGAGCCAGAGGCAGUGGCAGGAACAACCACACUGAGUGAGAACCCUCCUGCUGCUUCUAUCAGUCGUCCUCUCACCUAUUUGAGGGCUUUCAAAUUGCCAAUUUAUACUAAAAGAACCAAAGAAGAUACUUGGAAAGCAGAAGAACUUAGGAAACAUCUAAAGGCAUCACUACCAGAUAGUAAAAAUGAAGACCAAAAACACAGAGAGAAGAAACUGCAGAGAGAGAGGACUGUUUAUGACAUAGACCCUAACAGACGUGAACUCAGAGGCAGAGAGAAGAGCAAGGAAAGAACAAGAGAGAGAGAAAGGUUUAAAUCCAGUGAAAGGAACAGGGAUAAACGGAGAGAAAGGGAACAGGAACACCGGAGAGAAGACCGAGAGAGACACAAAGAUAAGGUUCAAGAGUCAUAUUUGGAGGAGAGACAUGGUAUACUAAAACAUAAAGACAGGGAGACUGGUAGAGAACGAGACAAAAAGCACAAGACAUAUGAGAUAAAGCAAACAGAUCCACAAAAUUACCUGGAAUCAUUUGAAGGAAGAGAUACAGAACAUCACAGAAGAAGAGAAAUCAGGCAUCGUUUGGAGGAGGAGAAAGCAAGAACUGAAGAGCGAGAAAGAAGACAUAAAGCACAGAAGGAUAAUGAUUUAAGAAAGAAAAUUGAGAAAGUUUUAGCCUACAAAGUUGAAGAAGGUGAACGUGUACACAAGUUAGAGAAACAUCAAGAGCUGGAUAAAGAGAUAGAAAGAAAACACAGAGAAAAAAAAGAACAUUCUGUUGGGACAGAAAAAGAGAGGCUUUCUAAAGAGAAAAGUCAUAAACGUUAUGGAAAGGGAGAGGAAGAAAAACAUAAAUCGAAGAGAUCCAAAGAAAAGUCUUCCCAUGGAGACAGAGAGGGGCCAGCAGCAGAAGCUAAUGAGAGAGUAAAAAGUAGAGAAAAUGAAAGAAAGAAAUAUGAUAUAAAGAACAAUGAAUACAAAAAGGAGGACAAGAUUCAAGAAGAAAUGAGACAUCAGCUUAUAAGGCCCAAUAGUACAUAAAUUACAAAAAAAAUCUAUUGCCUCUAAGAUGAAUCAGAUUAAAAUGUAUGUAUUUGUAUUCCUUUAAUUAUUUUUCUUCAUCAGGGUAGCAAGAGAUACUCUUCAGUCCUUGUAAACUGCAUAUAUAUUAAUCUGGGCACUUAGUUUUGGGGACAAAAAUGCUGUAUUUUACCACCUGGAAAUUCACUAUGUAGUCAUGUGGACAUAUGUAAGGUUCAUGAUGAACUACA
ensembl:lncRNA